rnacentral:rRNA from 1 species
UUAAAUUGAAGAGUUUGAUCAUGGCUCAGAUUGAACGCUGGCGGCAGGCCUAACACAUGCAAGUCGAACGGUAACAGGAAGCAGCUUGCUGCUUCGCUGACAAGUGGCGGACGGGUGAGUAAUGUCUGGGAAACUGCCUGAUGGAGGGGGAUAACUACUGGAAACGGUGGCUAAUACCGCAUGACGUCGCAAGACCAAAGAGG